UCUCUCUCCCUACAUCUUUAUGCGCCUGCAAUGCCAAGAGACAGCUCCUGGCCGCUGGGUUAGGGUCGAGGCCCCAGAGGCCCAGGGUCAAGGCUAUGGCCGCAUCCCAAGGACAUGCAUCCCUGCAAGGGGCUGCACCCGACAGGCAAGGCAGAGGCUCCGCUGGGGCCUGCUGAGAGUCCGGCUCCGGAAAGCCAGUGGAGGUGCUCCUUGAAGAAACCGCGGAAUCCCACCCAUCUCAGGGGCUCUGUCCUGGCCUGCGGCCCUGGAUCAUCCACCCUGGGGCGGGGUGGGGAGCAGACCUCGCCCUUCUUGGCUGGGACUGAGGGUCCCGCUUCCCCAAAGACCUAGGCCGGGGUUCCCAGCCGCCGCCCCAAUGGGCAGCGCCCGGACCCGCCCAACCCCCCGAGGCCUGGCACUCCCCCUCAACCAAGAUGGCGCGGACGGCAUCAGUACGUCACGCGACCCGCCCGCCGGGCUCCUACUGCGCUGCUCUUAGCUGGGCAGUUGGAGGCCGAGCGGCGGAGCGGGAAGCCGGACCUGGGGCCGGUGGUGGCCAGGGCGGCGCUUGGGCCGCUGUUGUGAGGCUGCGCGCUGGCGCCGCAGGGCGGGAUGCUGUCCCCCCGGGAGAGCCUGUCACAGGAGUGCAAGGAGCUGGACGGCCUCUGGAGCUUCCGCGCCGACUUCUCCGACAACCCGCGCCGGGGCUUCAAGGAAUAGCGGUGGCCACUGCGGAAGGUUAGGGUCCGGGGCAGGACCUGGAGGUGCCCGGAAGCCCGGCGGAAUGAGUUGGGGAGUCCGGGCCCCCGGCAGGCUCCUUCCCCGGGCAUCCCGCAGUUGGGGGCCCCACCGGUUUAAGGGAACGAGACACCCUCUUCUCUUUCUCGGGAUACCCCCACCUGCAGAGGGACCAGCCCAUUUGCUGGAGCCACUGAAUUCUGAGUUAAGUUCCUGUUCUGGGCUUCGCUGUGCAUGACCCAUCUCAGCAGGAUGGCCAAGGACCUCAUCCUCUACAGCACCAAGGAAUUCAGCUUCGUGCAGCUCUCGGAUGCCUACAGCACCGGAAGCAGCCUGAUACUCCAGAAGAAAAACCACCGUGGGGCAUAUGUUUGGGCGGAUUUGGAUGUCUCGAUUCAGAAGACUUUGGUCUGUAAUCCCCUCUCAUGGGCUGUCUCAUACUGCACUUGGUAUCAAGAUUCUCCCCAUUUGAUGACGGCAGGGUUGUCGUGUUCCUUCCUAUGGAAAAGUGUGCAUAAAAUUGGCACGGGAAACAGAACAUAGAGGGAAAUAUUUAAGGCAAAAAUCUUGAGAGAAAAAUCGAGAAUACAAAUGGAGUCAUAAAGCUCUAAAAUGUGUACAUCUGUAUGUAAACUGGAGUUGGGAAAAUAAAAUCAGAAAGACAUUUUAUGCACAAGUGGCCCAUGUGAAGAAACUGCAGUGAGAAGAUGGAAAUAAGCAUACCUUCAAGGCAGGAGCAAAGGCUCCCUCCCGUCUUCACCAGUAGUCUCCUGGCCAGUACAGUGUGAAAUGGCAGUUCAGAGAGCAGCAGCUGGAAUGGAAGGUGAGGCCUACAUCAUGAGAGGAGAUUGGGUGCGGAUGUGCAUGGGUCUUUUCUUCACUUGGUGACAUUAGAAAACCAGUUGGGAAAUAGUUGUCAAGGUAAUGGCCCCCAAAUAAAGCCUAGAGGACACUUGUGGAAAGGCACAGAGUUUUGCAUAAGAUUUGUGAAAUGAUUUUGUUGCAAAGUCACAGCUAUAUUCCAGAAGAAUGCAUUUCUCCUGAAAAAAUUGCUCUCUGCCAUGCAGUUUGUCAGUGAAGCUGUCCUCUCUGGUGCCAUCUGGAACAAGUUUCAAGUUGGUAAUGGACACUCACACACCUUUGCCCACCAGGAAAUUCUGUGACUCAUCUAUAAUGUUUAUGGUAAGAUUUGUAUAUCUUAAUUCAAAAGAAA